UACGAAGGGUGCAAGCGUUACUCGGAAUUACUGGGCGUAAAGCGUGCGUAGGUGGUGAGUUAAGUCUGUCGCUGAAAGCCCCGGGCUCAACCUGGGAAUGGCGAUGGAUACUGGCUCGCUAGAGUGCGGUAGAGGAGAGUGGAAUUCCCGGUGUAGCAGUGAAAUGCGUAGAGAUCGGGAGGAACAUCAGUUGCGAAGGCGGCUCUCUGGACCAGCACUGACACUGAGGCACGAAAGCGUGGGGAGCAAACAGG
rnacentral:rRNA from 1 species